UUAAAUUGAAGAGUUUGAUCAUGGCUCAGAUUGAACGCUGGCGGCAGGCCUAACACAUGCAAGUCGAACGGUAACAGGAAGCAGCUUGCUGCUUUGCUGACGAGUGGCGGACGGGUGAGUAAUGUCUGGGAAACUGCCUGAUGGAGGGGGAUAACUACUGGAAACGGUAGCUAAUACCGCAUAACGUCGCAAGACCAAAGAGGGGGACCUUCGGGCCUCUUGCCAUCGGAUGUGCCCAGAUGGGAUUAGCUUGUUGGUGGGGUAACGGCUCACCAAGGCGACGAUCCCUAGCUGGUCUGAGAGGAUGACCAGCCACACUGGAACUGAGACACGGUCCAGACUCCUACGGGAGGCAGCAGUGGGGAAUAUUGCACAAUGGGCGCAAGCCUGAUGCAGCCAUGCCGCGUGUAUGAAGAAGGCCUUCGGGUUGUAAAGUACUUUCAGCGGGGAGGAAGGGAGUAAAGUUAAUACCUUUACUCAUUGACGUUACCCGCAGAAGAAGCACCGGCUAACUCCGUGCCAGCAGCCGCGGUAAUACGGAGGGUGCAAGCGUUAAUCGGAAUUACUGGGCGUAAAGCGCACGCAGGCGGUUUGUUAAGUCAGAUGUGAAAUCCCCGGGCUCAACCUGGGAACUGCAUCUGAUACUGGCAAGCUUGAGUCUCGUAGAGGGGGGUAGAAUUCCAGGUGUAGCGGUGAAAUGCGUAGAGAUCUGGAGGAAUACCGGUGGCGAAGGCGGCCCCCUGGACGAAGACUGACGCUCAGGUGCGAAAGCGUGGGGAGCAAACAGGAUUAGAUACCCUGGUAGUCCACGCCGUAAACGAUGUCGACUUGGAGGUUGUGCCCUUGAGGCGUGGCUUCCGGAGCUAACGCGUUAAGUCGACCGCCUGGGGAGUACGGCCGCAAGGUUAAAACUCAAAUGAAUUGACGGGGGCCCGCACAAGCGGUGGAGCAUGUGGUUUAAUUCGAUGCAACGCGAAGAACCUUACCUGGUCUUGACAUCCACGGAAGUUUUCAGAGAUGAGAAUGUGCCUUCGGGAACCGUGAGACAGGUGCUGCAUGGCUGUCGUCAGCUCGUGUUGUGAAAUGUUGGGUUAAGUCCCGCAACGAGCGCAACCCUUAUCCUUUGUUGCCAGCGGUCCGGCCGGGAACUCAAAGGAGACUGCCAGUGAUAAACUGGAGGAAGGUGGGGAUGACGUCAAGUCAUCAUGGCCCUUACGACCAGGGCUACACACGUGCUACAAUGGCGCAUACAAAGAGAAGCGACCUCGCGAGAGCAAGCGGACCUCAUAAAGUGCGUCGUAGUCCGGAUUGGAGUCUGCAACUCGACUCCAUGAAGUCGGAAUCGCUAGUAAUCGUGGAUCAGAAUGCCACGGUGAAUACGUUCCCGGGCCUUGUACACACCGCCCGUCACACCAUGGGAGUGGGUUGCAAAAGAAGUAGGUAGCUUAACCUUCGGGAGGGCGCUUACCACUUUGUGAUUCAUGACUGGGGUGAAGUCGUAACAAGGUAACCGUAGGGGAACCUGCGGUUGGAUCACCUCCUUACCUUAAAGAAGC
rnacentral:rRNA from 1 species